GAUAGUUCAGCCUGAAGAAGAUAAAAGAGAUCUCUCCUCAUGAACUAAAAGCACAGGAGCAACAUACAUCAUGUUCAGUCUGGAAGAGCCUGGCCCGUUCGACAUACUCUUACAGCUCUGCAGUGUUACUGCUCCUUGUCGUGAACAGAGAGAUGCCAUGGGACUCCUGUCUGCUAAGGCUCUUUGGAAGAGCUAAACACCGAGUGUCUGCAGGAGGACAGGAUGUGACCACACUCACAUCCCACUCGUCAUAAUGACAAGAAGAGCUUGGGGACCUGCACAAAGGUGUGCCUGAUGCUUUUCCACUCCUGGACACCCCAGAGCCACACCUGAAGAUGAUCAACAGGGCAGCUAUUAACGGGCUAGAGGAGAAAGGAAGAUCUUCAGGGGAAAUCCUCUCCCAUCAUGGGUGUUCUUACCGUGUCCCUAAACCUUCUAGUAACGGCCUUCGUGACCCUGGAGCAGGCAAACGGCCGAGCUGCGCACAGCCCAGCGGCUCCUGCGCUGGUUCUUUCUUUCUCCCAUCUAAAAGCCUGAGUACGAAGGAUGAGACAAACUCCUCCAUCCCCCAUUCAGUGACUGUGGAAGGGAGGUUACAGGGGGAUUUUUCAGUACCUGUUGCCUUCGCUGUGCAAGGUGACGAAUGGAGAUGUGCCCUGGUACCGCAGGGCUCGAGGGCCUCGCGUAGAAAUGCUCGUACAAGUCUCCUGCCAAAUGUGACGGCAACUCGGUAUGGGUGCUUCGCUCCCUGCGGCGCUUUCCCACUUUCUUAAAGUACGGGCACGCUCCGCAGGGUCUCUUUGGAGACUUCAGAUAAAACGUCUCUGAUGUUUCAGCGUUUGCACGUGGCCCGAUCCAGCGAACCACACUAUGGCGUAGUGCCUCUUCCCAUUUCCGAACUCAGCCUCAUCUUGCAGCUGCUCACCUUUUACUGAUGUUUGUGAUCAGGACUGGUUGCUUUAAACGCAGCCAGCAGGUACAAAUACUAAAACUAGCUUGGAUGUCCCUAAAGGAGUGUAUCAGCCCUGCAGUAAAGCUAGGGGAAAGAAUAGAAAAUGUGUUUGAGGAAUUUAGUACCUGUAUAAACUACUUGCUACUCUCUAACUUUUCAUUACGGUUUGACUCCCAUCAGGACGCGUACGUGUUUGGAGGUCAAGGGCAACCCGGUUUGUUUUGCACACUACUUCAGCUCGGAUUGAAACAUUAGAAAAAGUAGGAAUGUUCACCUUGGAGGGAGGAAUCAGAUUUGAGUCUGAAAUUCAAAUCUGCGGAAAAUGCAAAGCUUCCACUCCAAAUGGGACGUAGAUAGAAUAGUGAUUCAUCCCCCAUUGAAGUCAAUGCCAGAGUUGCUUUUGAUUUUAAUCGGAAUCAAACCCCGUGGGAUUAUUCUCACUUGCAAACUGGACCGGUCCCAUUAAGUAGAGAAGCCACAGCGCUUUUGCAGGGUUGGGUGUUUUCUUUUUUAAUUUUAUUUUUAUUUAAUGAAAUUGGCUCAGUGUCACAGCACUGGGACGAAACACAAAACCCUUCUGUUUGAGUGCUUUUCGAAUAUUCUUGGAACAUCUGGCACAGCUGUUAUUUUGACCCCAAGGCAGGAGCACAACCUCGCUCCUGCUCCAAUUCCAAUUGGAGCUGACACCAAAUAUGCCAACGAGAGCGGGGCCGCGCAGCCCAAACCGCGUGGAAGAAAUCGCAGCUCCGUGAUGGGGCGAGCAACCAGACCAGUCCCGUUGUCACGGUUAUAGCUGUCAAACCUAGGCAAAGGCAGACAGG
ensembl:lncRNA